rnacentral:ncRNA from 1 species
UACAUCAUAUAAUAAGGUAUGAUGGUUGGCGAUUGUUGUCAAGAGGUCAGCAGUAUAUUCACAAGGAAUAUUCAG